CGUUGAUGAAAACGGGUGAAAUUAGCGUGCCCGGCGUUGACGCUUGAUGAAGUCGGCACGGCGGUGAUGAAAACGGGUGAAACUAACCGUGCCCGGCGUUGACGCUUGAUGAAGUCGGCACGGCGGUGAUGAAAACGGGUGAAACUAACCGUGCCCGGCGUUGACGCUUGAUGAAGUCGGCACGGCGGUGAUGAAAACGGGUGAAACUAACCGUGCCCGGCGUUGACGCUUGAUGAAGUCGGCACGGCGGUGAUGAAAACGGGUGAAACUAACGUGCCCGGCGUUGACGCUUGU